UACCAGGUCAUGACAUCCUCUGAAAACCCUAGAGAUAGUGGCUUCUCCUUCGGGAGCAGAGUGACAGGUGGUGCAUGGUUGUCGUCAGCUCGUGUCGUGAGAUGUUGGGUUAAGUCCCGCAACGAGCGCAACCCUUGAUCUUAGUUGCCAUCAUUAAGUUGGGCACUCUAAGGUGACUGCCGGUGACAAACCGGAGGAAGGUGGGGAUGACGUCAAAUCAUCAUGCCCCUUAUGACCUGGGCUACACACGUGCUACAAUGGACGGUACAAAGAGCUGCAAGACCGCGAGGUGGAGCUAAUCUCAUAAUACCGUUCUCAGUUCGGAUUGUAGGCUGCAACUCGCCUACAUGAAGCUGGGAUCGC
rnacentral:rRNA from 1 species